ensembl:lncRNA
GGGUGUUUAUUAAAAAUGCAGGUGAUUCUGAUUCAGUAUUUCCAGGGUGGGUCUGGGAGCUGCCUUCUUAACAGGCUUCCAGGUGGUUCUGAUGCAGGUGGCUUCAGAAUCACUCCUUUGGAGAUGCUACUGUAAUGGCUGGAUGGAUAAUGGACUAGAGAGGGAAGAGCUCAGAGGCUGCAAGACCUGUUGGUAGGCUGACGCAGCAGCACACGCGGUCGAAGGUAAACGCAUCUGUUGAUGAUUAACAGCAGUGUUUCAAAGCUCCCGGGAGAGAGGAUGGAUAUGAUGGAGUCAGACACCUCUAGUUUUAAUUCUAUCGCUUAUACCUGUCACUUUGGAUGGUGAACACUGAUUAAGAAGAGAGAGCACAUAUCAUGCAGAGACCAUGGGCCCUGGACCAGAAACAUUGAGGAUAGAGAGAGGCAAAGCCAGCAUCCCGGAGCUGGCUCCUUUCCCCAGGGUUUUGGAGCGGUGCAGUCUUCCCUAGAAAUUAAUUGAUAAAGACUGAGUUCCUCACUUGAUAUUUUGAAAGAGAGCUGCUGCUAGCUUAUAUACCGUGAAUUGCCAAAUGUCACUGCCUCUGAGUGGACAGAUUAUAUAAAAGACACUUCCUCCUGGUAUGGCUAGCAGAGGAUGCACUGGAUUUCAGCUCCUAGUCCUCCCUUGACUCCACCAAGCUGGGUAUUUCUUUGCAGUAUACAAUCUGCACAACUGUACGUGGUUUGACAACAUGCAUAAGCAUAAGGCUAACAACUUGUGAAACAAACUCUGAAGCCAGGAGUGAAUAUAUUAAUGCAGAUGGCAGAGAAGGUGAGCAGCGUGGUCAGACAGAAGCAUCACAGAGACUGCAAGAAGAAUGCUUUAGACCAGCUCAUAGUAGAGACUUUACCUCUUGGCUGUACUGAUUAAGGGUUAUCACCAGUUUCUUAGGACUUGGAAACUUGGAAACACAUUGCUUGUCCUUUCCAGUUUGUUACAGAGUGUGUGUGUGUGGUCCUCAUUAUAAGGUGUAGCUUCAGUCAUUCUCAUUCAAUCCUGAAGCUGUGGAUUCCUGUGUGGCUGUUCUGUUGAAGAUUCUGGAGCCCAGAACAUUCAAAACCAGCUUUCCUUAGAGUGAAAGGAUGUUUGCACAAACAUUGAAGCAUGGAAGGGAGUUUGGGGGUAAGGGAGGGGUGGGGAAUUCCAGGAAGAGGAAAUCGGUUAGACAAGGGUGUGGAGGCACACCAAAUUGUGGAUUCCUUUAGGAAGUGGUUUUUUUUUUCUGUGAGGAAGAUUGUCCCAGAGCGAACAUCUGUGCUGAUCUUCCUCUAUUUUGUAUAUGGGAUGCUGCCACAGCAUGGCUUGAUGAGCGGUGUGCAGGUCCGAGCCUGGGAUCCAAACCCACAAACCCUGAGCUGCCGAAACAGAGUGUGCAAAGUUAACCACCACACCACUGGGCCGGCCCCAGAGAGAAUUUUUCCACUUCAUUAAAUCUGAGUGUCCCUUCAGAUGCCGAGGUGAUUAUAGCACAGUCUCUGUUCUGGAGAAGCUAGAACCAUUUCAUAUCUACCCUAUUUGAUCCUCAACAAAUUCCGUAAGUUAGGUAGGAAAG